GACGAACGCUGGCGGCGUGCUUAACACAUGCAAGUCGAACGGUAAGGCCCUUCGGGGUACACGAGUGGCGAACGGGUGAGUAACACGUGGGUGAUCUGCCCUGCACUUCGGGAUAAGCCUGGGAAACUGGGUCUAAUACCGGAUAGGACCCUGGGAUGCAUGUCCUGGGGUGGAAAGCUUUUGCGGUGUGGGAUGGGCCCGCGGCCUAUCAGCUUGUUGGUGGGGGGAUGGCCCACCAAGGCGACGACGGGUAGCCGGCCGGAGAGGGGGACCGGCACCACUGGGACGGAGAUACGGCCCAGACUCCUACGGGAGGCAGCAGUGGGGAAUAUUGCACUAUGGGCGCAAGCCUGAUGCAGCGACGCCGCGUGAGGGAUGACGGCCUUCGGGUUGUAAACCUCUUUCAGCACCGACGAAGCGCAAGUGACGGUAGGUGCAGAAGAAGGACCGGCCAACUACGUGCCAGCCGCCGCCGUAA
rnacentral:rRNA from 1 species